rnacentral:rRNA from 1 species
UACGUAGGGGGCAAGCGUUGUCCGGAAUUAUUGGGCGUAAAGAGCGUGUAGGCGGUCCGGUAAGUCCGCUGUGAAAGUCGGGGGCUCAACCCUCGGAUGCCGGUGGAUACUGUCGGGCUUGAGUACGGAAGAGGCGAGUGGAAUUCCUGGUGUAGCGGUGAAAUGCGCAGAUAUCAGGAGGAACACCAAUUGCGAAGGCAGCUCGCUGGGCCUGUACUGACGCUGAGGAGCGAAAGCGUGGGGAGCGAACAGG